GAUGAACGCUGGCGGCGUGCCUAAUACAUGCAAGUCGAGCGAACAGACGAGGAGCUUGCUCCUCUGACGUUAGCGGCGGACGGGUGAUUAACACGUGGAUAACCUACCUAUAAGACUGGGAUAACUUCGGGAAACCGGAGCUAAUACCGGAUAAUAUAUUGAACCGCAUGGUUCAAUAGUGAAAGACGGUUUUGCUGUCACUUAUAGAUUGAUCCGCGCCGCAUUAGCUAGUUGGUAAGGUAACGGCUUACCAAGGCAACGAUGCGUAGCCGACCUGAGAGGGUGAUCGGCCACACUGGAACUGAGACACGGUCCAGACUCCUACGGGAGGCAGCAGUAGGGAAUCUUCCGCAAUGGGCGAAAGCCUGACGGAGCAACGCCGCGUGAGUGAUGAAGGUCUUCGGAUCGUAAAACUCUGUUAUUAGGGAAGAACAAAUGUGUAAGUAACUAUGCACGUCUUGACGGUACCUAAUCAGAAAGCCACGGCUAACUACGUG
rnacentral:rRNA from 1 species